AGAAUACAUUCCCCAGGAAAGACCGCGUAUGUUGCUGGAAUAAUCAACUUUGUCAUUACAGUCUCACUCGGUCCUGUCAGAACUCAAUCUUGAACCUACGUCUGGGUUAAUCUGCGUGUUCCAGUUCCUUUUCUGUUUCAAAAACCCCAAAGCAAUAGCCAUCUUAACGUUGAUAUUUCUCACGUCUAGCCCUGCCCUCUCCCUGUCGUGCGAGGAGCUCAGGGAGACCCGGUGGGAGGGGAGCCGGGGAGAGGGGCGGGGAGGUCGGAGCAGGACCUCCAGAGUGGACACCGGGAGGAAACCUGGAGAAGGCAUUCGUGCCCCUUAUUUCAAGGAAGAAAGGAAAAUGCAACGUGAUGCAAAGAGGAGGAAAGGAGCAGGAGCGAGCGUGUGGGCAGCGCUGGGCGCGGAGCCCCAGGGGAAGGCGGCGCCGGGGGCGCAGGGUGCCGCGGCUCGCGCUCCCGGAGCGGCGGAAUCAAGAUGGGGAGAGACGCCAAGGUGCAGAAGAGAAGGCAGGAGCUGAAGCAGCGAGCUUGGACCGUUGAGGCCAACUGGGUAACGCUCAGCAGAGAACCUGGUAGAAGGAGUCUGCCUCAAACACCCGUAGAGCAUCGUACCUGCCUUGAGCCACCUGCCUAAGAUUUGACCUGAGAGAGAAGUGACCCUCCACCUGCUGAAGCCACUGUCCGGGGCAUCUGCUCUCACUUGCAGCUGAACCUCACCCUCGUGACUACAUGAUGACGCUUCCACUUGAAAUAUACAUACUUUUUUUUUGGUGAGGAAGAUUGGCCCUGAGCUAACAUCUGUGCCAAUCUUCCUCUACUUCAUAUGUGGGAUGCCCCAACAGCAUGGCUGAUGAGUAGAGUCGGUCUAAACUCAGGAUUGGAAACUGUGAACCCAGGCCGCCAAAGCGGAGUGCACAGAACUUUAACCACUUGGCCACGGGGCCGGCCCGGCUGCUUUUUUUUAUUGCUAAGGACAGGGUGAUGCACUGGUUAUCAAAAUAAUUUGGUUAUAGGUAACAAAAACAGGGAAGUAUUCAGGUCUUAAUUUUCCUUCAGAAGACUCCCGUGUACACAUCAAAAUAUUAAAUAAACUUUUAUGCUUUUCUCCUGUUAA
rnacentral:lncRNA from 1 species